AUUGAACGCUGGCGGCAGGCCUAACACAUGCAAGUCGAGCGGAUGAAGGGAGCUUGCUCCUGGAUUCAGCGGCGGACGGGUGAGUAAUGCCUAGGAAUCUGCCUGGUAGUGGGGGAUAACGUCCGGAAACGGGCGCUAAUACCGCAUACGUCCUGAGGGAGAAAGUGGGGGAUCUUCGGACCUCACGCUAUCAGAUGAGCCUAGGUCGGAUUAGCUAGUUGGUGGGGUAAAAGCCUACCAAGGCGACGAUCCGUAACUAGUCUGAGAGGAUGAUCAGUCACACUGGAACUGAGACACGGUCCAGACUCCUACGGGAGGCAGCAGUGGGGAAUAUUGGACAAUGGGCGAAAGCCUGAUCCAGCCAUGCCGCGUGUGUGAAGAAGGUCUUCGGAUUGUAAAGCACUUUAAGUUGGGAGGAAGGGCAGUAAGUUAAUACCUUGCUGUUUUGACGUUACCAACAGAAUAAGCACCGGCUAACUUCGUG
rnacentral:rRNA from 1 species